UACGGAAGGCAGCAGGGGGGAAUAUUGCACAAUGGGCGCAAGCCUGAUGCAGCCAUGCCGCGUGUAUGAAGAAGGCCUUCGGGUUGUAAAGUACUUUCAGUCGUGAGGAAGGUGUUAAGGUUAAUAACCUUAGCAAUUGACGUUAGCGACAGAAGAAGCACCGGCUAACUCCGUGCCAGCAGCCGCGGUAAUACGGAGGGUGCGAGCGUUAAUCGGAAUUACUGGGCGUAAAGGGCACGCAGGCGGUUAAUUAAGUUGGAUGUGAAAUCCCCGGGCUUAACCUGGGAAUGGCAUUCAAGACUGGUUUAGCUAGAGUCUUGUAGAGGGGGUUAGAAUUCCAUGUGUAGCGGUGAAAUGCGUAGAGAUGUGGAGGAAUCCGGUGGCGAAGGCGGCCCCUGGACAAAGACUGACGCUCAUGUGCGAAAGCGUGGGGAGCAAACAGGGAUUAGAUACC
rnacentral:rRNA from 1 species